GGGAAGCCCAGUGCAAGCAUAGAGCCUGCAGAAAGCUGCGGGUAUGGGCAGAGCUGGUCUGUGGAAGGGCAACAGAGCUGCGCCCCUCGUUCCAUGGUGACCUAACCUCGGUCUAGUCCAUGGAGCCUCAGUUACACUUCUAAGCCGUGACCAGAAGGGCGCAGGGAAGAGAGAGUGUGCUCCUGGAACCGAGCAUGGAACCUGGUUCGGUUCAAUUUCGUAAUACCUUCAAAUGAUCCAGUAAAAAGGAUCCACAUGGUGGAAGGAGCGAACAGACUUUCAGAAGUUGUCCUCUGAUCUCCACAAAUAAACACACAAACUUAAAGAAUAAAUAGCACCUUCGCAGACUCCUCAGAAA